GAUGAACGUUGGCGGUGUGCCUAAUACAUGCAAGUCGAACGGAGUUAGUAGCAAUACUGGCUCAGUGGCGAACGGGUGAGUAACGCGUUGGUGAUCUGCCUUGAAGUGUGGAAUAACGUUUCGAAAGGAACGCUAAUACCGCAUGUGCUCUCGAUUUUCAGAAAGUUGAGAGUAAAGGAUUUAUUCGCUUCAAGAGGAGCCUGCGUCCCAUCAGCUGGUUGGUAGGGUAACGGCCUACCAAGGCUAUGACGGGUAGGGGACCUGAGAGGGUGGCCCCCCACAAUGGAACUGAAACACGGUCCAUACACCUACGGGUGGCAGCAGUAGGGAAUAUUAGAAAUGGACGAAAGUCUGAUCUAGCAACACCGCGUGUGCGAAGAAGGCCUUCGGGUCGUAAAGCACUUUUUGGAAGGAAUAGGAAGGAAUGUACUUCCAGAAUAAGUCUCGGCUAACUACGUGCCAGCAGCCGCCGUAAGAC
rnacentral:rRNA from 1 species